GACAGCACGUAACCAGAUACAAAGGCUGCCCUGUGACGGCAUUGCCAUGGUAACAGGGGAGCACUCUAACGGUUCUUGUCCUGAACGAGCCGGUUUGGACCGGCUGGCGCUCGGAGGAGGGUCUGCAAACACAGCGCCCUUGGACACUGCGCAAGGUGAUCACUGAAUUGUCCACCCAGAUUCACAGAGGAUGGCAUCGCCAGUGCCCGUGAUGAUCACCAUGGUUCUGAAUUCAAAUGCCACAGGAGCCUACCAGGCUGGACUCAGAAAGAUUAUGAAUAUCUCAUCAUUUUUCACAUAUCACAACAUCAAAAAGGAGGAAACCCAUGCAGACACAGGGAGAAUGUGCAAACUCCACAUAGACACUCGCCCGAGGCAGGAAUCGAAUCCGGGUCCCUGGCGUGAUGAGACAGCAAUGCUAACCACUGAGCUACCAUGCCAGCCAAAUAGACUGAACCAUGACAAAUGGAAUUCCGUUCUGUAUAUCUUCUUACAAAAUACAAUGAAAAGUGUUGUGUAGUGUCACCACUCUCCAGCACAUCUUUGAACACAGAAAAAUAAAACAAAACAUAGAAUUUGAAGACAGAAAAAUGAAGAAAUAAAGAAAGUAUCCAAUUUUACAGUCAUUCUUGUUAAGUGCGCCAACAUGGAAUUGGCCAGGUAUGAGUGUCCUUUGCUGCGUUGCUGCUGCUGAAAUGAAAGUCACUGUUCUUUGGUGGCAUCUCGCCUUCACCAAUGCCCUUAUCACUGAGCUCUCACUGAACUUCACCAAUGCAAAUGCGGCCAAUGCAGUCAGGUACCAAAGUGGCCCAAAUUUGACCACCGCCACUAUGAGUUCACCUUGGGCCCACCUUGCUGAUGCAGCUGCUGCUGAUGCUGCCGUAUCUCAUACUAGGCAGAAACUCACUUCCGUCACCGCCUCCGUGAAUUUGCACUGGAAGCAGAUGCUGCCAAGAACCCAAAGUCACCUCUGCAGCAGCAGCCAGGAGACACCACUAGGACCUCCUUGACGAUGCAGAAGCCACAUGGAACCCAAUGCUACUGCUACGAGUCCACAUUGCUGAGCCCACUCACCGACUGCCUCAGCUUUGCGCUGGGACCCUUCAAGUCUGCACUGCUGGCCCCACUUACUGCCACUGAUGCCAUCAUCGUGACCGACCUCUUCAUCAAGAGGUAAAUAAGAUAGAGGAAAAAAAAACAAGAGAAGAGAGAGAAAAAAGAAAAGAAAUGGAAAACAAGCGGAUGGAGCAGAUGAGCCCUGGGCUCAGAAGCCCUACUCUGCUGCCAUCUUACCAAGCACUUAGCUUGACUAGAUGUGGGGUAAUCACUCAUUGUGAUGCUACAUUUAAAUUCAGCAUGAUCAAAUUUGUAACCCUGUACCUAUUCAAAAAAUUAUAUCUUCAUUUCUAGAGGAAUACAAUUAAAAAACAGAUGUGAUAUUAAACUUAUACAGAAACUU